UACGAAGGGGGCUAGCGUUGCUCGGAAUCACUGGGCGUAAAGCGCACGUAGGCGGCUUUUAAGUCAGAGGUGAAAUCCUGGAGCUCAACUCCAGAACUGCCUUUGAUACUGGAGAGCUUGAGUCCGGGAGAGGUGAGUGGAACUGCGAGUGUAGAGGUGAAAUUCGUAGAUAUUCGCAAGAACACCAGUGGCGAAGGCGGCUCACUGGCCCGGUACUGACGCUGAGGUGCGAAAGCGUGGGGAGCAAA
rnacentral:rRNA from 1 species